rnacentral:rRNA from 1 species
CAGCAGCCGCGGUAAAACGUAGGUGGCAAGCGUUGUCCGGAAUUAUUGGGCGUAAAGGGCUCGCAGGCGGUUUCUUAAGUCUGAUGUGAAAGCCCCCGGCUCAACCGGGGAGGGUCAUUGGAAACUGGGAAACUUGAGUGCAGAAGAGGAGAGUGGAAUUCCACGUGUAGCGGUGAAAUGCGUAGAGAUGUGGAGGAACACCAGUGGCGAAGGCGACUCUCUGGUCUGUAACUGACGCUGAGGAGCGAAAGCGUGGGGAGCGAACGGGAUUAGAUACCCCUGUAGUCCCUGUCUCUUAUAA